rnacentral:rRNA from 1 species
UACAGAGGGUGCGAGCGUUGUUCGGAAUUAUUGGGCGUAAAGCGCGCGCAGGCGGGAUGGUAAGUCGGAUGUGAAAGCCCUCGGCUCAACCGAGGAAGUGCGUUCGAAACUACUGUUCUUGAGUGUCGGAGAGGGUGGCGGAAUUCCCGGUGUAGAAGUGGAAUUCGUAGAUAUCGGGAGGAACACCAGAGGCGAAGGCGGCCACCUGGACGAACACUGACGCUGAGGCGCGAAAGCGUGGGGAGCAAACAGG